GUGGGGAAUAUUGCACAAUGGGCGAAAGCCUGAUGCAGCAACGCCGCGUGAAGGAAGAAGGCCCUUGGGUCGUAAACUUCUGUUCUAAGGGAAGAUAAUGACGGUACCUUAGGAGCAAGUCCCGGCUAACUACGUGCCAGCAGCCGCGGUAAUACGUAGGGGGCGAGCGUUAUCCGGAAUUAUUGGGCGUAAAGAGUACGUAGGUGGUUAUCUAAGCGAGGGGUUUAAGGCAAUAGCUCAACUAUUGUUUGCCCCGCGAACUGGGUGACUUGAGUGCUGGAGAGGAAAGCGGAAUUCCUAGUGUAGCGGUGAAAUGCGUAGAUAUUAGGAGGAACAUCAGUGGCGAAGGCGGCUUUCUAGACAGUAACUGACACUGAGGUACGAAAGUGUGGGGAGCAAACAGGAGUAGAAACCCGGGUAGUCC
rnacentral:rRNA from 1 species